GAUGAACGCUGGCGGCGUGCCUAAUACAUGCAAGUCGAGCGAACAGACGAGGAGCUUGCUCCUUCGACGUUAGCGGCGGACGGGUGAGUAACACGUAGGUAACCUACCUAUAAGACUGGGAUAACUUCGGGAAACCGGAGCUAAUACCGGAUAAUAUUUCGAACCGCAUGGUUCGAUAGUGAAAGAUGGCUUUGCUAUCACUUAUAGAUGGACCUGCGCCGUAUUAGCUAGUUGGUAAGGUAACGGCUUACCAAGGCAACGAUACGUAGCCGACUUGAGAGGGUGAUCGGCCACACUGGAACUGAGACACGGUCCAGACUCCUACGGGAGGCAGCAGUAGGGAAUCUUCCGCAAUGGGCGAAAGCCUGACGGAGCAACGCCGUGUGAGUGAUGAAGGUCUUCGGAUCGUAAAACUCUGUUAUUAGGGAAGAACAAACGUGUAAGUAACUGUGCACGUCUUGACGGUACCUAAUCAGAAAGCCACGGCUAACUACGUG
rnacentral:rRNA from 1 species